GACCCGUUAGCUCAGUUGUUAGAGCAAUUCCCUUUUAAGGAAUGGGCCGUUGGUUCGAAUCCAACACGGGUCACCA
rnacentral:tRNA from 1 species